rnacentral:rRNA from 1 species
AUACAUGCAGUCGAGCGGACCGACGGGAGCUUGCUCCCUUAGGUCAGCGGCGGACGGGUGAGUAACACGUGGGUAACCUGCCUGUAAGACUGGGAUAACUCCGGGAAACCGGGGCUAAUACCGGAUGCUUGAUUGAACCGCAUGGUUCAAUCAUAAAAGGUGGCUUUUAACUACCACUUGCAGAUGGACCCGCGGCGCAUUAACUAGUUGGUGAGGUAACGGCUCACCAAGGCGACCAUGCGUAACCGACCUGAGAGGGUGAUCGGCCACACUGGGACUGAAACACGGCCCAGACUCCUACGGGAGGCAGCAGUAGGGAAUCUUCCGCAAUGGACGAAAGUCUGACGGAACAACGCCCCGUGAGUGAUGAAGGUUUUCGGAUCGUAAAACUCUGUUGUUAGGGAAGAACAAGUACCGUUCGAAUAGGGCGGUACCUUGACGGUACCUAACCAGAAAGCCACGGCUAACUACGUGCCAGCAGCCGCGGUAAUACGUAAGUGGCAAGCGUUGUCCGGAAUUAUUGGGCGUAAAGCGCGCGCAAGCCGUUUCUUAAGUCUGAUGUGAAAGCCCCCGGCUCAACCGGGGAGGGUCAUUGGAAACUGGGGAACUUGAGUGCAGAA